rnacentral:rRNA from 1 species
CCUACGGGAGGCAGCAGUGAGGAAUAUUGGUCAAUGGGCGGGAGCCUGAACCAGCCAAGUCGCGUGAGGGAAGACGGUCCUAUGGAUUGUAAACCUCUUUAGGCGGGGAGCAAUGCCGGGCACGUGUGCCCGGAGGGAGAGUACCCGCAGAAUAAGCAUCGGCUAACUCCGUGCCAGCAGCCGCGGUAAUACGGAGGAUGCGAGCGUUAUCCGGAUUUACUGGGUUUAAAGGGUGCGUAGGCGGAUUUUUAAGUCAGCGGUAAAAUGUCCGGGCUCAACCCGGGCCGGCCGUUGAAACUGGGGAUCUUGAGUGGGCGAGAAGUAUGCGGAAUGCGUGGUGUAGCGGUGAAAUGCAUAGAUAUCACGCAGAACUCCGAUUGCGAAGGCAGCAUAACGGCGCCCGACUGACGCUGAGGCACGAAAGCGUGGGGAGCAAACAGGAUUAGAUACCCCGGUAGUC